rnacentral:rRNA from 1 species
GAUGAACGCUGGCGGCGUGCCUAACACAUGCAAGUCGAACGGAAAGGCGCUGCUUUUGUGUGGUUCUCGAGUGGGGAGCGGGUGAGUGACACGUGUGUAACCUGCCCUUGACUUUCGGGGAACAUCAGGUAAAUGGGGCUAAUACCGGAUAGGAUCUUCUGCAGCACGGAGGGGGGUGGAAAGUUUCGGCGGUCGUGGAUGGUCUCGCGGCUUAUCAGCUUGUUGGUGGGGUAGGUGAUGACCAAGUAUUGGACGGAUAGGCGGCCUGAGAGCGUGAACGGGGACCUUGGGCCUGCGGUACGGCCCAGACUCCUACGUGAGGCAGCGGUCGGGAACAUGACACAGUGGGCGGGCGCCUGAUACGGAAGCGCCGGGUGCGUGAUGACGGCUUACGGGUUGUGAACCGCUUUCGCUUGAGACGAAGCGUGAGUGACGGUAAUGGGUAAAGAAGCACCGGCUAACUACGUG